UACGGGGGGGGCAAGCGUUGUUCGGAAUUACUGGGCGUAAAGGGCUCGUAGGCGGCCAACUAAGUCAGACGUGAAAUCCCUCGGCUUAACCGGGGAACUGCGUCUGAUACUGGUUGGCUUGAAUCCGGGAGAGGGAUGUGGAAUUCCAGGUGUAGCGGUGAAAUGCGUAGAUAUCUGGAGGAACACCGGUGGCGAAGGCGACAUCCUGGACCGGUAUUGACGCUGAGGCGCGAAAGCCAGGGGAGCAAACGGG
rnacentral:rRNA from 1 species